UUUUUUGGUCAAAGAAACCUGGCAUUGCAUUAUCAUGAAAAAUGCUGUCCCAAAAAUUUGUUUUUGCCUAGGACAACUUUAGAGCUCCAAACAAGCAUAAGAGUCCAUUUGUCCCAUUUCUCCUGCGUACACACUCUCAGACCAGCUCAAAAUGAAAUGCACACACUAAAUGUUUAUAAACCUAAUAGGAAUUCAUGAACCACGAACACAAUAUUUCAAUUUCUAACUGAUGGGGACAAUACCAUAAUAUUUCAAUUUCUAACUGAUGGGGACAAGACCAUUCAUGGUACCCAUCUUUUAGCUCAUUUAAUUUUGAACUAGUUACUUCUUUCUUUCCUCUUCUUCUAGUACCAUUUCCCAAUUUUUACUCUGUCACUUCUUCAACUUCUUUCUUUCUGCCUUUUCGUGUAUCAUUAGCACCUUGCUGUUGCUGCUCAGCCUUUUUCUGAGCUCGAAUCAUGGCUCGUCGAGCACGCGGCCGCAUUUCUCGUACUGUUCUUGGAGGCAUUACAUAUGGCUCAAGUGGCCGAUCACCAAAGGGGUGCUCACUUCCAGCAAAAAUCCUCAGUUUUCUAUCUCUAUCAUCACGCAAUUUGUUUCUAGGAAGCAUGCGCAAGACUGCUUUGCGAAUUACUUCUGCAGGGUCCUUUGCCAUCUGAUCCUUUAAACUCCUUUCCUUGAGAUGGCCCACAUACCCAGUAUGCCAGCGAUAAAAUUUAUCUGUCAUCUUUCUCCCUGUAACACAUACAUC
rnacentral:misc_RNA from 1 species